rnacentral:rRNA from 1 species
GAUGAACGCUGGCGGCGUGCCUAAUACAUGCAAGUCGAGCGAACGGACGAGAAGCUUGCUUCUCUGAUGUUAGCGGCGGACGGGUGAGUAACACGUGGAUAACCUACCUAUAAGACUGGGAUAACUUCGGGAAACCGUAGCUAAUACCGGAUAAUAUUUUGAACCGCAUGGUUCAAAAGUGAAAGACGGUCUUGCUGUCACUUAUAGAUGGAUCCGCGCUGCAUUAGCUAGUUGGUAAGGUAACGGCUUACCAAGGCAACGAUGCAUAGCCGACCUGAGAGGGUGAUCGGACACACUGGAACUGAGACACGGUCCAGACUCCUACGGGAGGCAGCAGUAGGGAAUCUUCCGCAAUGGGCGAAAGCCUGACGGAGAAACGCCGCGUGAGUGAUGAAGGUCUUCGGAUCGUAAAACUCUGUUAUUAGGGAAGAACAUAUGUGUAAGUAACUGUGCACAUCUUGACGGUACCUAAUCAGAAAGCCACGGCUAACUACGUG